AAAUGAGGUAGAGGUCGCAACCAUUAUGACUAGUAUAGCGGAGAUAGGGAGAAUCUGUGAAGCUAUAUAAAAGGAAUGGUUGCCGAAGUAUAGUACUUCUCUUCAAGUGCUAUGCUGGGGCUGUACUCGAAUAGGGACAGAACUGCCGCUGCGGCGGGUGAGCUAUCGUUUCA
rnacentral:ncRNA from 2 species